UACGUAGGGGGCAAGCGUUGUCCGGAUUUAUUGGGCGUAAAGAGCGUGUAGGCGGCUUGGUAGGUCCGCUGUGAAAACUCGAGGCUCAACCUCGAGAUGUCGGCGGAAACCACUUGGCUAGAGUCCGGAAGAGGAGAGUGGAAUUCCUGGUGUAGCGGUGAAAUGCGCAGAUAUCAGGAAGAACACCUAUGGCGAAGGCAGCUCUCUGGGACGGUACUGACGCUGAGACGCGAAAGCGUGGGGAGUAAACAGG
rnacentral:rRNA from 1 species